UGGGGAAUUUUGGACAAUGGGCGAAAGCCAUGAUCCAGCAAUGCCGCGUGUGUGAAGAAGGCCUUCGGGUUGUAAAGCACUUUUGUCCGGAAAGAAAUCCUUGGCUCUAAUACAGUCGGGGGAUGACGGUACCGGAAGAAUAAGCACCGGCUAACUACGUGCCAGCAGCCGCGGUAAUACGUAGGGUGCAAGCGUUAAUCGGAAUUACUGGGCGUAAAGCGUGCGCAGGCGGUUUGCUAAGACCGAUGUGAAAUCCCCGGGCUCAACCUGGGAACUGCAUUGGUGACUGGCAGGCUAGAGUAUGGCAGAGGGGGGUAGAAUUCCACGUGUAGCAGUGAAAUGCGUAGAGAUGUGGAGGAAUACCGAUGGCGAAGGCAGCCCCCUGGCCAAGUACUGACGCUCAUGCACGAAAGCGUGGGGAGCAAACAGGAUUAGAUACCCUGGUAGUCCACGCCCUAAACGAUGUCAACUAGUUGUUGGGGAUUCAUUUCCUUAGUAACGUAGCUAACGCGUGAAGUUGACCGCC
rnacentral:rRNA from 1 species